rnacentral:rRNA from 1 species
CAGUCUGCAUGGAGCCGACCUUGAAAUACCACCCUUUAAUGUUUGAUGUUCUAACGUGGACCCGUAAUCCGGGUUGCGGACAGUGUCUGGUGGGUAGUUUGACUGGGGCGGUCUCCUCCUAAAGAGUAACGGAGGAGCACGAAGGUUGGCUAAUCCUGGUCGGACAUCAGGAGGUUAGUGCAAUGGCAUAAGCCAGCUUGACUGCGAGCGUGACGGCGCGAGCAGGUGCGAAAGCAGGUCAUAGUGAUCCGGUGGUUCUGAAUGGAAGGGCCAUCGCUCAACGGAUAAAAGGUACUCCGGGGAUAACAGGCUGAUACCGCCCAAGAGUUCAUAUCGACGGCGGUGUUUGGCACCUCGAUGUCGGCUCAUCACAUCCUGGGGCUGAAGUAGGUCCCAAGGGUAUGGCUGUUCGCCAUUUAAAGUGGUACGCGAGCUGGGUUUAGAACGUCGUGAGACAGUUCGGUCCCUAUCUGCCGUGGGCGCUGGAGAACUGAGGGGGGCUGCUCCUAGUACGAGAGGACCGGAGUGGACGCAUCACUGGUGUUCGGGUUGUCAUGCCAAUGGCACUGCCCGGUAGCUAAAUGCGGAAGAGAUAAGUGCUGAAAGCAUCUAAGCACGAAACUUGCCCCGAGAUGAGUUCUCCCUGAGACUUAGAGUCUCCUGAAGGAACGUUGAAGACGACGACGUUGAUAGGCCGGGUGUGUAAGCGCAGCGAUGCGUUGAGCUAACCGGUACUAAUGAACCGUGAGGCUUAACCUU